AGUGAACGCUGGCGGUAUGCCUAACACAUGCAAGUCGAACGGCAGCACAGUAAGAGCUUGCUCUUACGGGUGGCGAGUGGCGGACGGGUGAGGAAUACAUCGGAAUCUACUUUUUCGUGGGGGAUAACGUAGGGAAACUUACGCUAAUACCUCAUACGACCUACGGGUGAAAGCAGGAGAUCUUCGGACCUUGCGCGACUGAAUUAGCCGAUGUCGGAUUAGCUAGUUGGCUGGGUAAAGGCCCACCAAGGCGACGAUCCGUAGCUGGUCUGAGAGGAUGAUCAGCCACACUGGAACUGAGACACGGUCCAGACUCCUACGGGAGGCAGCAGUGGGGAAUAUUGGACAAUGGGCGCAAGCCUGAUCCAGCCAUACCGCGUGGGUGAAGAAGGCCUUCGGGUUGUAAAGCCCUUUUGUUGGGAAAGAAAAGCAGCAGGUUAAUACCCCGCUGUUCUGACGGUACCCAAAGAAUAAGCACCGGCUAACUUCGUG
rnacentral:rRNA from 1 species